rnacentral:rRNA from 1 species
UACGUAGGUGGCAAGCGUUGUCCGGAUUUAUUGGGUUUAAAGGGUGCGUAGGCGGCCUUGUAAGUCAGUGCUGAAAUAUCCCGGCUUAACCGGGAGGGUGGCAUUGAUACUGCAGGGCUUGAGUAAAGUUGAGGUUGGCGGAAUUGACGGUGUAGCGGUGAAAUGCUUAGAUAUCGUCAAGUACACCGAUAGUGAAGACAGCUAACUAAGCUUUAACUGACGCUGAGGCACGAAAGUGUGGGGAUCAAACAGG